GCCUGACGUGGCCGCGAUGGAGGCGCCGCAGGAUGGCCGGGCUCGGGGAGCUGGCCGGGCCCCGGGCCCGGGCGGCGUCAGCGGGGAGCAGCUCAGGGGGCGAGAAGCCGCCCCGGCCUGGGGCUUGGACUGGAUGAUCGCCAGAGGUCCCUCCCAAACCUGACAGUUCCGUGAUUCUGCGUUUACCGAGGCCGCAGCCAAUAGGACCGGCACUGUGGGGAAGGUUUAAAAUAAAGAGCGUGCUACCCCCUGGAACAAAGGCAGCCUUCUUUCUGCUGCAGAAAUUUGAAUCACAGAGCAGUUUAAGUGAGAGCCUUAAAAGACCAUCCAGACUGGCCUUGAACACAUCCAGGGAUGGGGCAUCUGCAGCCUUGCUGGGCAACCUGUGUCAGUGCCUUAGCACCCUCACAGUAAAUAAUUUCAUCCUUAUAUCUAAUCUAAAUAUGCCUUCUGUCAUCUUGAAGCCAUUCAUUAGAACUCUAUCUCCUUGUAAAGAGUUCCUCUCCAGCUUGUAGGACCCCUU